ensembl:lncRNA
ACAAGAUAGAUAGAUAAAUAUUAAUGAUUAUCAUUAUUUUAUUUUUUAUUGUUUAACAGAAUUAUUCUGCAGUUAUUUGUGUGGGAUUGUAAGUCUAUCAACAGUAAGUCUGUCAUAUAAUCUGUAAAAUAUCUUCCGUGUAGCUCAGACAAAAGGAAAAGAACUCGGGCUUCCCUCGGAUCCAUCAGGACCAGUAGGUAGGUGUUCCACAGAGUCUUUCAGCCUUUUGCAUUAAAAUCGCUAAAGCGACUUGAGCAAGUCUGACGUUCAUGUUCACGGCUGACGUUUUCCUUUCACAGCCCUUUACAUUCAAGGCUCGCUAAAUCUUUAGGCAGCUUGCACGUAACGGCCUGUGAAAAGGAUCAGGUGUUUUCUGGCUCAGUGGCCAACAAUAAUUUCAUCAAGCAGUCAAACUUAAAGCACUUAAGCCCAGUGAACAGUCAGCCGCACGCGGCCCAGAGAUCACUGCAGCUCUAUGGCCUCGGCUCAUAACUCCAUCUCCAAAGCUCGAGUUCCUCUCCUCCGCUGAAACCCGCAGAGGAUCCAGUCAAGAACAACAUCUCUGCACUGAUUUCACUCGAGCGUUACUCCUUGUCUAAGCGAUCUACUAUAAACCAUAUUCAAACUGUGUUUACAGAGAAAUCAGCAGAUGUUAACCAUUUUUAUUUUGAUCAAGAGAAUGCAAUGAGUUUAUUUUUAAGCAUCUGUGAAGUUUGACUUUUUAUGCCAUUGUAAACAUCAUGAGUGUUGGAAGCUGCCUUUGCCAUUAUGCAUUGUUACUAAACCUGUAAUAUUGUUUUUUAAUACUGUAGUUAGUACUUUAUUAAUACUUACAGAAGUGUGACAGACUGUAAAUAACCCAAUGUGAAUCAUAUUGUGCUAAUCGUGACUGAAAGCUGUAUAUAGGCUGGAGUUUGAUAGACUAAAAGAACUGUUUGGUUUUUUUUUUUUUUUUUCUUUAAAUAAUUGAAAACUUUUUUU